rnacentral:lncRNA from 13 species
GCCUUCUGUUUCAGCAGCUUGGCCUCAGAGCCAAUACGAAACAUACUUUAUUUUCUGAGCACCUCCAAUAUGUACUGUAUGAUACCUACUAAUGGUCUAGUUACUUUAGACAGAAACAAAAGUAGGGAGGUGGGUCAGGUAGGGUGGGUGGACAUUUUAGCUAACCCUUCCCCUAACCCUCAUUCUAAACUUAACCCAUUUCACCUAACCUGCUGCCUAAAUUUACCUAACCUUUAUCGUUUUAGUUCCCCUAACCUUUCAUGUAAAUGAUCCUAACCUUUGUCAUUAGUUCACCUAACCACCAAUCUAAAUUCUCCACAUAAUACUCCUUUGUUGUUGACUCAACAAGCAACCUGGUCUCAGAGAAAGACGUAUAUUGCCAGAUCCAAAUACAAUGCCUUCAGAAAGUAUUCACAUCCUUUGACUUUUCCACAAUUUGUUGUGUUACAAAGUGGGAUUAAAAUAGAUUUAAUAUAACACAUUUUGUCAACGAUUAACACAAAAAAUUCUAACAUUUGUAAAAAAUUUAAAAAUCCAAAAACACACUCAUAUAUCUUGAUUAGAUAAGUUUUCAACCCCCUGAGUCAAUACAUGUUAGAAUCACCUUUGGCAGCGAUUACAGCUGAAGUCUUUCUGGGUAAGUCUCUAAGAGCUUUCCACACCUGGAUUGUGCAACAUUUGCCCAUUAUUCUUUUCAAAAUUCUUCAAGCUUUGUCAAAUUGGUUGUUGAUCACUGCUAGACAACCAUUUUCAUGUCUUGCCAUAAAUUUUCACGCAGACCUUUUACUUGACCUCAUGGUGAAAUCUCUGAGCGGUUUCCUACCUUUCUGGCAACUGAGUUAGGAAAGAUGCCUGUAUCUUUGUGUUGAAUGGGUGUAGUGAUACACCAUCCAAAGUGUAAUUAAUAACUUCACCAUGCUCAAAGGGAUAUUCAAUGGCUGUUUUUUUUUUUUUACCCAUCUACCAAUAGGAUCACUUCUUUGCGAGGCAUUAUGUAAGGACCGACGCUGGAGAAAAGAAGCAAGUACAGGGAAAACGGACAUCAAACAAAACAAGAACAGCAUCAGGACGGGGGGAAGAAAACGACAUUACGUCAAUAAUGCUGACACGGGGAACACAACUGAGGAACAGACAGAUAUAGCGGGGGCAAUCAACAACGUGAAGGAGUCCAGCUCUGCCUCUGUGCCCAUCCUGUUGAGGAGGAUUGGAGCAGACACCUAGCUCCUGACUAGAAGCUGCCUGUCAGAAUGGCUCUCCAACGGUGACCACAGAAUAUUUUAUUAAUUAAUUAGUGUUUUGUGGUGUUAUUAAAGCACUCAUAUGCCUCAUUUGGCCAGAAGCCUUUCCUUUUAACACAUUUACUCAUGAAGGAUCUCAAUCCAAGAAAGAAUCUGCAAUGAUACAGUGCUCAUAAAAGCAACAAUUCCCACAAAAGAACCCUCAACAACAUACUGUAUGUGAUUGGUCCAAAUU